CUACGGGGUGCAGCAGUACUGAAUCAUUCACAAUGGGCGAAAGCCUGAUGAUGCGACGCCGCGUGCAGGAUGAAGGCCUUCGGGUUGUAAACUGCUGUCAAGAUCUAGGAAUAAUGACCAGAUCUAGAGGAAGCACCGGCUAAAUUCGUGCCAGCAGCCGCGGUAAUACGAAUGGUGCAAGCGUUGUUCGGAAUCACUGGGCGUAAAGGGUGCGUAGGUGGCUUGCUAAGUCAGGUGUGAAAUCCCUCGGCCUAACCGGGGAACUGCAUUUGAUACUGGCAAACUUGAGAGUGCGAGAGGAAAGCGGAAUUCCAGGUGUAGCGGUGGAAUGCGUAGAUAUCUGGGAGAAGGCCGGAGGCGAAGGCGGCUUUCUGGCGCACAUCUCACACUGAGGCACGAAAGCGUGGGGAGCAAACAGGAUUAGAUACCCCUGUAGUC
rnacentral:rRNA from 1 species